AUCCAUCAGUCACUGCUGAGCAGACCCUAUUUGGACACCAAUUUUUCUCUGACCGGCACAAGAUGGGUCGCGUUCGUACCAAAACCGUGAAAAAGGCGGCUCGGUUGAUAGUGGAAAAGUACUACACCGAGCUGACCACGGACUUUCCCACUAACAAGAGGAUAUGCUCAGAAGUCGCUCUGAUUUCCUCCAAGAAGACCAGGAACAAAAUCGCUGGGUUCGUGACUCAUUUGAUCAACAGAAUUGAACGUGGCCCCGUCCGUGGAAUUUCCUUGCGCCUUCAAGAAGAAGAGCGCGAGCGCCGAGAAAACAUCAUUCCAGAGCGUUCUGUAAUGGAAGACAGGGUAGCCAGUCUUCAGGUGGACAAAGACACCCUAUCUAUGCUCGAAAAAAUGGGGAUCACAAGCGUUCCAGAAACGCCAUCUUCGAUCUCUAACCAACAUGGACAGUACCAUAGCUAUGGACACUUUCACAGUAUGAGAAGGAUGAGAGAGCGCAGACAAAGAGAUCGAGACGAAAUUGAUUUUUCGGCUAAAAUGCAUCGCCGAGAACGUCGAUACACGCCUGUCGCAACUGCACCCCCCGUCGCAACAACGUCGGAGCCCGCCGCAGUCCCCGUCACCGAAUAAAAAGAAAGUUAAUGCAAAUACA